UACGUAGGGUGCGAGCGUUAAUCGGAAUUACUGGGCGUAAAGCGUGCGUAGGCGGUUCGCUGUGUCCGAUGUGAAAGCCCUGGGCUCAACCCGGGAACUGCUUUUGAAACUGCCGAGCUAGAGUGCGGAAGGGGCAACUGGAAUUCCCAGUGUAGCGGUGAAAUGCGUAGAUAUUGGGAAGAACACCUGAGGCGAAGGCGGGUUGCUGGGCCGACACUGACGCUGAGGCGCGAAAGCCAGGGGAGCGAACGGG
rnacentral:rRNA from 1 species